GUCUUUAAGAAAUUUGUUUAAAGUCUAAUCUGCUCACUGAUAAUUUAAAGAGCCGCAGUAUAUUGACUGUGCAAAGGUAGCAUAAUCAAUAGUUUUUUAAUUGAAAACUGGAAUGAAAGAUUGAAUGAUAAAUUAACUUUCUUAAUUUUAAAAAAUGAAUUUAAAAUUUAAGUUAAAAUUCUUAAAUGAUUUUAAAAGACGAGAAGACCCUAUAGAUUUUUAUUAAUUUAAAUAAUUAAUAUAAAUAAUUAUUUUAUUUAAUUUAAUUGGGGUGAUUUUGUAAUAUAAAAAACUUAAUUUUUUUUAACCAUAAAUAAUUGAAUCUUUUGAUUUAAAAUUUUUAGAUUAAAAUUAAAUUACCUUAGGGAUAACAGCGUAAUAUUAUUUAAGAGUUGAUAUCUAUAAUAAUGCUUGCGACCUCGAUGUUGAAUUAAGAAAUAUAUUGGAGUAGAAAUUAAUAUUAAUUAGUCUGUUCGACUAUUAAAUUCU
rnacentral:rRNA from 1 species